rnacentral:rRNA from 1 species
CUACGGGGCGCUGCAGUCGCGAAUCAUUUACAAUGCGCGCAAGCGUGAUAAUGCGAGCCAAAGUGUUUUUCGUUUAGAAAAACUUUUCUUUACUGUAAAAAUGUAGAGGAAUAAGGACUGGGAAAGACCGGUGCCAGCCGCCGCGGUAAUACCGGCAGUUCAAGUUGCAUCCCUUUUUAUUGGGUCUAAAACAUCCGUAGCUUGGAAUUUAAGUCUCUUGUGAAAUCUCACGUCUCAAGCGCGGUGAAGUGCAGGAGAUACUGGAUUCCUAGAGAUCGGUAGACGUAAGGAGUACGCCGGGGGUAAUGGUAAAAUAUGUUAGUCCUCGGUGGACUAACAAUGAGCGAAGGCACCUUACGAGGACGAAUCUGACAGUGAGGGAUGAAGGCCAGGGGCGCAAAACGGAUUAGAUACCCCCGUAGUC